rnacentral:rRNA from 1 species
CAUGCAAGUCGAACGAGAGGACAAGAGAAGCUUGCUUCUUUUGGAAUCGAGUGGCAAACGGGUGAGUAACACGUAAACAACCUGCCUACAGGAUGGGGACAACAGACGGAAACGACUGCUAAUACCGAAUACGCUUGGGAGACCGCAUGAUCUUCCAAGGAAAGGGUGGCCUCUACCUGUAAGCUAUCGCCUGAAGAGGGGUUUGCGUCUGAUUAGGCAGUUGGCGAGGUAACGGCCCACCAAACCUACGAUCAGUAGCCGGUCUGAGAGGAUGAACGGCCACACUGGAACUGAGACACAGUCCAGACUCCUACGGGAGGCAGCAGUGGGGAAUCUUCCGCAAUGGGCGAAAGCCUGACGGAGCAACGCCGCGUGAGUGAUGACGGCCUUCGGGUUGUAAAGCUCUGUGAUCGGGGACGAACGGUCCGUAAGUCAAUACCUUAUGGAAGUGACGGUACCCGAAUAGCAAGCCACGGCCAACUACGUGCCAGCAGCCGCGGUAAUACGUAGGUGGCAAGCGUUGUCCGGAAUUAUUGGG